rnacentral:rRNA from 1 species
GAUGAACGCUAGCGGCAGGCCUAAUACAUGCAAGCUGAACGGUAAUUCUUGUAGCAAUAUGAGAGCUAGAGUAGCGUAAGGGUGCGUAACACGUAUGCAAUCUGCCCUCAACAGGAGGAUAGCUAGUCGAAAGAGGAAUUAAUACUCCAUAAGCUCACACGAGGGCAUCUGGUAGUGAUUAAAAGACGGGCUUAUGGCUCAGCAUGCGUCUGAUUAGUUAGUUGGCGGGGUAACUGCCCACCAAGACGAGGAUCAGUAGGGGAACUGAGAGGUUGGUCCCCCACACUGGCACUGGGAUACGGGCCAGACGCCUACGGGAGGCAGCAGUAGGGAAUAUUGGACAAUGGGGGAGAGCCUGAUCCAGCCAUGCCGCGUGCAGGAAGACAGCCUUCUGGGUUGUAAACUGCUUUUUUCAGGGGAUAAAAUACCGGUGCGCCGGGAAUUGCAAGUACCUGGAGAAUAAGCCACGGCUAACUACGUGCCAGCAGCCGCCGCAGUAA